UGGGGAAUUUUGCACAAUGGGGGAAACCCUGAUGCAGCGACGCCGCGUGAUUUAGAAGGCCUUCGGGUUGUAAAAAUCUUUUCUAUGGGAAGAAAAUGACAGUACCAUAGGAAUAAGGACCGGCUAAUUACGUGCCAGCAGCCGCGGUAAUACGUAAGGUCCGAGCGUGGUCCGGAAUCAUUGGGCGUAAAGGGUACGUAGGCGGGUAAGCAAGUUAGAAGUGAAAUCCUAUAGCUCAACUAUAGUAAGCUUUUAAAACUGCUCAUCUUGAUGUAUUGAAGGGAAAGUGGAAUUCCUAGUGUAGCGGUGAAAUGCGCAGAUAUUAGGAGGCAUACCGGUGGCGAAGGCGACUUUCUGGCCAUAACCUGACGCUGAGGUACGAAAGCGUGGGUAGCAAACAGG
rnacentral:rRNA from 1 species